UUACUGGAAGUUACAGGCAGAUAGGACAGAUCACCCCUCCCCUCUUGUUUAAUUCCAAAAGUUCCUGUAGAGUCUGACACACUUUCCCAUAAAUAUACAGUCUAUUUCAUGUUCUCACUUGACUUCAAAUUCGGACAAGUCUGCUGUCAUCAUGAAAUAUUUGGCUCUGGGUUUGCUGCUUUGUGUUCUUCCAUCACUUUCAAAUGCAGCAUGUGGGCGCAUGAACUUGAUAUCAGACACAACUCACUGUAUGGACACUUCAGAUUACACAUGGCAUGCUGUAGGGUCCACAUGGAGAAACAGUGAAUGUAUGGUCUGUAGUUGCGGUCUAUUCGAACUUGAAUGCUGCGAUGGGUAUGCAACCCCCAGGCAGUUCCCUGAUGACUGUGUGUCAGUGUUUGACUCAAAGGCAUGUCAAUACAUUGUGCACAAGAAGGACGACCCCACCGUAGAAUGCCCAAUUUAUGCUGCAGUAGGAAAGUGAUGGAGCGGUCUGAAAGUAUUUUGUUGUUGAACUGGGUACAGAGGGGGGGGUUGCAUGCAGAUGUGAUCAGAAUCAAAAUCAGAAUCGGAAUCCCUUUUAUUGGCCAGGUAUGUGCACACAUACAAUGUACAUACAACGAAUAAUCAUAAAUAAACAGGACAACAAGCUCAACAAACAGACAUAAACUACUAUAUACAGUAGACAGUAGUGCAAUGUGGAGUGCAAAGAAUGCUGAAAUAAAUAUUUACGUGCAGGUAUUUUUUUCUUUGUACAUGAAAUAUUUGGAUAAGAAUACACAUCAUGCAUAGAUAUGACUGAAUGAUGAUAUUUAUGUUUUAAAAAAGAAACUGAAUUUAAACAAUGAAGAAAAUUAAAUGUAUAGUGAACACAUGACCAAGUAGGAAGCACAGCAUCCAAAUCUUGAAAAUAAAAUACUUCUACAAAUAAACUAAAUAAAUCAUA